rnacentral:rRNA from 1 species
UCCCUGGUGUGAUCCUGCCAGUAGUUAUAUGCUUGUCUCAAAGAUUAAGCCAUGCAUGUCUCAGUGCAAGCCGUAUUAGGGCGAUACCGCGAAUGGCUCAAUAUAUCAGUUUUGGUUCCUUAGAUCUUACUCAGUUACUUGGAUAACUGUGGUAAUUCUAGAGCUAAUACAUGCAAUCAGAACUCUGACCAGUGAUGGGACGAGUGCUUUUAUUAGAUCAAAACCAAUCGACGGAGGGCCUCGCGUUCGAAGUCGUUAAUUUUGAUGAAUCUGGAUAACUUUUGCCGAUCGCACGGUCCAGCACCGGCGACGCAUCUUUCAAAUGUCUGCCUUAUCAACUUUCGAUGGUAGUUUCUGCGACUACCAUGGUUGUCACGGGUAACGGGGAAUCAGGGUUCGAUUCCGGAGAGGGAGCCUGAGAAACGGCUACCACAUCCAAGGAAGGCAGCAGGCGCGCAAAUUACCCACUCCCGGCACGGGGAGGUAGUGACGAAAAAUAACGAUACGGGACUCUUACGAGGCCUCGUAAUCGGAAUGAGUACACUUUAAAUAUUUUAACGAGGAACAAUUGGAGGGCAAGUCUGGUGCCAGCAGCCGCGGUAAUUCCAGCUCCAAUAGCGUAUACUAAAAUUGUUGCGGUUAAAAAGCUCGUAGUUGCAUUUGUGCGCCGCGCUGUCGGUGCACCGCAUCCGCGGUGAUACUGACACGUUUGCGGAGCAUAUCGUCGGUGAGCCGACGGUCAAACGUCGGUUCAAUAUCAAAAUCCUAUCGCGGUGCUCUUCAGUGAGUGUCGAGAUGGGCCGACAAUUUUACUUUGAACAAAUUAGAGUGCUCAAAGCGGGCUCAAAAUGCUGCUUGAAUAUUUCGUGCAUGGAAUAAUAGAAUAUGAUCUCGGUUCUAUUUUGUUGGUUUUCAGAACUCCGAGGUAAUGAUUAAUAGGGAUAACUGGGGGCAUUCGUAUUGCGACGUUAGAGGUGAAAUUCUUGGAUCGUCGCAAGACGAACAUCAGCGAAAGCAUUUGCCAAAGGUGUUUUCAUCAAUCAAGAACGAAAGUUAGAGGUUCGAAGGCGAUUAGAUACCGCCCUAGUUCUAACCGUAAAUAUGUCAUCUAGCGAUCCGCCGACGUUACUACAAUGGCUCGGCGGGCAGCUUUCGGGAAACCAAAGAUUUUGGACUCCGGGGGGAGUAUGGUUGCAAAGCUGAAACUUAAAGGAAUUGACGGAAGGGCACCACCAGGAGUGGAGCCUGCGGCUUAAUUUGACUCAACACGGGAAAUCUCACCAGGCCCGGACACCGGAAGGAUUGACAGAUUAACAGCUCUUUCUUGAUUCGGUGGGUGGUGGUGCAUGGCCGUUCUUAGUUGGUGGAGCGAUUUGUCUGGUUAAUUCCGGUAACGAACGAGACUCUAGCCUGCUAAAUAGGCGUCGUCAUUUAGGUGUGCGUGGCUCACGUCACGCAACUCACUGGCGACGUAUUAAAAUUCUUCUUAGAGGGACCGGCGGCUUCGAGCCGCACGAGAUUGAGCAAUAACAGGUCUGUGAUGCCCUUAGAUGUCCUGGGCCGCACGCGCGCUACACUGAAGGAAUCAGCAUGUUCUCCCAGGCCUAGAGGCCCGGGCAACCCGUUGAAACUCCUUCGUGCUGGGGAUUGGGGUUUGCAAUUAUCCCCCAUAAACGAGGAAUUCCUAGUAAGCGCGAGUCAUAAGCUCGCGUUGAUUACGUCCCUGCCCUUUGUACACACCGCCCGUCGCUACUACCGAUUGAAUGAUUUAGUGAGGUCUUCGGACCGACACGCGGUGGCUUCACGGCCGUCGGCGUUGCUGGGAAGUUGACCAAACUUGAUCAUUUAGAGGAAGUAAAAGUCGUAACAAGGUUUCCGUAGGUGAACCUGCAGGAAGGAUC